rnacentral:rRNA from 1 species
UGCAGUCGAACGGUGAAGCCCAGCUUGCUGGGUGGAUCAGUGGCGAACGGGUGAGUAACACGUGAGCAACCUGCCCCUGACUCUGGGAUAAGCGCUGGAAACGGCGUCUAAUACUGGAUACGAACCACAGUCGAAUGGCUCGUGGUUGGAAAGAUUUUUUGGUUGGGGAUGGGCUCGCGGCCUAUCAGCUUGUUGGUGAGGUAAUGGCUCACCAAGGCGUCGACGGGUAGCCGGCCUGAGAGGGUGACCGGCCACACUGGGACUGAGACACGGCCCAGACUCCUACGGGAGGCAGCAGUGGGGAAUAUUGCACAAUGGGCGCAAGCCUGAUGCAGCAACGCCGCGUGAGGGAUGACGGCCUUCGGGUUGUAAACCUCUUUUAGCAAGGAAGAAGCGAAAGUGACGGUACUUGCAGAAAAAGCGCCGGCUAACUACGUGCCAGCAGCCGCGGUAAUACGUAGGGCGCAAGCGUUAUCCGGAAUUAUUGGGCGUAAAGAGCUCGUAGGCGGUUUGUCGCGUCUGCUGUGAAAUCCCGAGGCUCAACCUCGGGCCUGCAGUGGGUACGGGCAGACUAGAGUGCGGUAGGGGAGAUUGGAAUUCCUGGUGUAGCGGUGGAAUGCGCAGAUAUCAGGAGGAACACCGAUGGCGAAGGCAGAUCUCUGGGCCGUAACUGACGCUGAGGAGCGAAAGGGUGGGGAGCAAACAGGCUUAGAUACCCUGGUAGUCCACCCCGUAAACGUUGGGAACUAGUUGUGGGGUCCUUUCCACGGAUUCCGUGACGCAGCUAACGCAUUAAGUUCCCCGCCUGGGGAGUACGGCCGCAAGGCUAAACUCAAAGGAAUUGACGGGGACCCGCACAAGCGGCGGAGCAUGCGGAUUAAUUCGAUGCAACGCGAAGAACCUUACCAAGGCUUGACAUACACGAGAACACCCUAGAAAUAGGGGACUCUUUGGACACUCGUGAACAGGUGGUGC